rnacentral:rRNA from 1 species
UGGGGAAUUUUGCGCAAUGGGGGAAACCCUGACGCAGCAACGCCGCGUGGAGGACGAAGUCCCUUGGGACGUAAACUCCUUUCGAUCGGGACGAUUAUGACGGUACCGGAAGAAGAAGCCCCGGCUAACUUCGUGCCAGCAGCCGCGGUAAUACGAGGGGGGCGAGCGUUGUUCGGAAUUAUUGGACGUAAAGGGCGCGUAGGCGGUCGGAUAAGUCUUGUGUGAAAUCUUCGGGCUCAACUCGAAGUCUGCACAGGAAACUAUCUGGCUUGAGUGUGGGAGAGGUGAGUGGAAUUCCUGGUGUAGCGGUGAAAUGCGUAGAUAUCAGGAGGAACACCUGUGGCGAAAGCGGCUCACUGGACCACAACUGACGCUGAGGCGCGAAAGCUAGGGGAGCAAACA